rnacentral:misc_RNA from 1 species
CUUCCCCACCACCAAGCACAGCUCACAGCAAGCAAGUGGGUUUUUAGAGAGAGAAGAAAAAAAAGAUUUAAACUUUAGAGAGAGAAACUGACAAAAACUAAUAGAAAAUAUACGUUUUUUAUUUACAUAGAAAUGAAAGACUGAGUCUUUAGGAGGGGUCAAGCUUGGAGGAGAUUCAGAAAUUCUUGCUUUCAGUUUUUCCAGGUACUUACUGAGCUCACAAUUUGCUCAGUCACUGAGAGAGAGAGAGAGAGAG